rnacentral:rRNA from 1 species
ACGACUCUCAGUAACGAAUAUCUUGGCUCUUGUAAUGAUGAAGAAUGCAGUGAAAUGCGAUAUGUAGUGUGAAUUGCAGAAUUUCCUAAAUCAUUGAGUCUUUGAACGCAAGUUGUGCCCGUGGCUCAUCCAAGGGCAUGUCUUCCUUUGCAUCCUC